AAGUGAAAUAUUUCAAAGCAAUGAAUUGCUUUGAAAUGUGAAAUACGCCUUCGGCGUGUGAAAUAUUGGGCUGCGCCCAAUGUGAAAUAUUCG
rnacentral:sRNA from 1 species